rnacentral:rRNA from 1 species
UACGUAGGGUGCAAGCGUUAAUCGGAAUUACUGGGCGUAAAGCGUGCGCAGGCGGCUUUGCAAGACAGAUGUGAAAUCCCCGGGCUCAACCUGGGAACUGCAUUUGUGACUGCAAGGCUAGAGUACGGCAGAGGGGGAUGGAAUUCCGCGUGUAGCAGUGAAAUGCGUAGAUAUGCGGAGGAACACCGAUGGCGAAGGCAAUCCCCUGGGCCUGCACUGACGCUCAUGCACGAAAGCGUGGGGAGCAAACAGG